AGCAGCCGCGGUAAUUCCAGCCCCAAUAGCGUAUAUUAAAGUUGUUGCAGUUAAAAAGCUCGUAGUUGAAUUUCGGGGUUGUAAGUUGGUCAUGCCUCUGGUAUGCACUGGCUUUACUGAUUCCUCCUUCUUGAUGAACUGUAAUGUCAUUAAUUUGGUGUUGCAGGGAAUCAGGACUGUUACUUUGAAAAAGUAGAGUGUUUAAAGCAGGCAUACGCUUGAAUACAUUAGCAUGGAAUAAUGAAAUAGGACGUUUGAUCCUAUUUUGUUGGUUUCUAGGAUUGACGUAAUGAUUAAUAGGGAUAGUUGGGGGCAUUAGUAUUCAAUUGUCAGAGGUGAAAUUCUUGGAUUUAUUGAAGACUAACUACUUGCGAAAGCAUUUGCCAAGGAUGUUUUCAUUAAUCAAAGAACGAAAGUUAGGGGAUCGAAGACGAUCAGAUACCGUCGUAGUCUUAACCAUAAACUAUGCCGACUAGGGAUCGGAUGAUGUUAUUUUAAUGUACUCAUUC
rnacentral:rRNA from 1 species